rnacentral:rRNA from 1 species
AUUGAACGCUGGCGGCAUGCCUUACACAUGCAAGUCGAACGGCAGCACGGGAGCAAUCCUGGUGGCGAGUGGCGAACGGGUGAGUAAUACAUCGGAACGUGCCCAGUAGUGGGGGAUAGCCCGGCGAAAGCCGGAUUAAUACCGCAUACGACCUACGGGUGAAAGCGGGGGAUCGCAAGACCUCGCGUUAUUGGAGCGGCCGAUGUCAGAUUAGGUUGUUGGUGGGGUAAAGGCCUACCAAGCCGACGAUCUGUAGCUGGUCUGAGAGGACGACCAGCCACACUGGGACUGAGACACGGCCCAGACUCCUACGGGAGGCAGCAGUGGGGAAUCUUGGACAAUGGGCGCAAGCCUGAUCCAGCCAUGCCGCGUGCGGGAAGAAGGCCUUCGGGUUGUAAACCGCUUUUGUCAGGGAAGAAACGGUCUGCACUAAUACUGCGGACUAAUGACGGUACCUGAAGAAUAAGCACCGGCUAACUACGUGCCAGCCGCCGCGGUAACAC